AUUCACCAGAAGAAAAUCAAACUUUCAGAACGGGUGGCCACUCCGAAUUCCCUCACAGCUCCAAACCCACUAUGGUUGGGGAUUUCCUGCGUGGAUGAAAAUAAAAGGGGUGAGUUUGGGGAAACUCAGUGUGUAAGGAAAACCCAUUCAAAGCCCAAGUCAGCUCAAGCCCAUUGGGCCUAAGCCCAUUCAGGUAACAGUGAUACUGGGCCGGAGCCCUUUUCAGAUUACAAUAAACUGGGCCUUAGCCCCUUAUUCAGAUAACAGUAUGGCCCAUAGGCCCAUUUCAAAAUACAUGCAACAUCAAUAAACAUAUGCAAGCCCAUUUGGGGAGACUACUCAACCCACCAACCACUACACUCCACCCGUACCAGCCAUACACUCCAUGUGGGGAAUAGCUCAACCCACCCAGCCCAACACUCCACAGUUGCAGCCUUGCUGCUCAGUUAACAGUAAAUUGAGGCAAAGCCUCCAGUACGUGGACAAGCCACUUUCAGUACUUCCUCCGUCAAUAUCCCAGUCCCAUGCAUCAGAUAAUAACAACAUGGCAUGCAGUAAAUAACAACAGUCAAAUAUGCAUUUAGGUCAAUUUAACCCUAGGGGUAUUUCGGUAAUUUAUCUCUUAGGGGUAAAACUAUAAAUUUUCCACUUUUAAAGGUAUUUCAGUAAUUUAUCUAUUUUAGGGUUUUUCAUGCAUAUUCCUAAUUUUCACGUACUAACAGAAUCACGUACUGAGGGUUCUUACCGAAUUGGGCCCGUUGGCCCAUCAUUCCAAUUUUGGCCCAUUAAGCCCAAAAAUAUCGAGGGCACAGAAAUCAUGCACUUUGCAGUCCAAACAUUGCAGCUUACCAAAAACAUUAAUCGAUUUACCUCACGAGCAUCCGCACACUCGCAAAUCUACAAAAUACCAGUUUUUGGCAUUUCGGCUUUUCGACUUUUGCCGAUCUAGACUAAGAAAGAGGGUGUUAGUUACACAUCUGUUUGCGACGAUAUGCUGACGAGAUCCACACACGAACCGCCUACAAUUGAAUUACUAACACGUUAAUCUAACUAUUCAAAUACAAACUACGUAUUAACCCCUUAGAAUAUUCGGCCAACCACACCUACAGAUCAUAGUAAGCUUAUAAGAAAACAAUAAGCAACUCAUUAACAAAUUUUUGUCAAUGUUUACCACAUAAUCAUAAUUUCACUGCUAGCUGUCUUCCUGAGCAAUAGUCACUAAAUCAUUUAUAAUUGGAGCUAAGAUACUCCAAAUCAAGUUCCGUUAAUUUUCCUUGAAAAUAGACUCAUAUAUCUUCUAUCCAUAAAAUUUUCAGAAUUUUUUAUUUAGCCAAUCAAUACCAGAUUUUUCUCAAAGUUUCCCAUGUUUCACUGUUUGACUAAUCUGACCACUCUUCAUUACGAAUCAAAUUUCUCAUUUUAAAGAAUUCAAAAUAUGUUCUUGUUUAUUUCAUUAGAAACUAGACUCAAUAAGCUUUAAUUACAUAAUUUAUUAAGCUUCUAAUUCAUCUCCCACAAUUUAUGGUGAUUUUCCAAAGUCACGUUACUGCUGUUGUCCCAAGCAGAUUUAUAACCAAAUCACUCUUUCAUACACCUAUCUCGCAUGCAUGUUAUUUAAACAUGUAUAUCACCAAUCAAUCAUCACAUAUCUAUGAUUUUUACUUAAGCAUAAUAUCCAUUUCAUCAUUUUAAAGCACAACAUGUUAGCCGAUUUUUCCCUUUAGCAUCUAAGGCACAUGCAUGCUCAUUUGUUUGGCUCAACUUCACAUAUCUUCCAUUUUUCAUCAAAAGAACAUGAAACAACAACCAUUUCCUUCAUUUUAAUUUCAUGACUAAAUGCUCACAACACAACUAAAAAUCAAAAUAUACUUCAAGAGUUAAGGUAGAAUCAAGAAGAACUCAUGAACCUCAAAAUAGAAGCAAGGUACCAAGAACUUACCUUCAAUUUUCCUCCUCCUAAUGACCGAAUGCUCAAGAGCUUUCUCCUCUCCUUUCUCUUCUCUAACUUUCAGCUAUGAUGAACAAAGAUGGACAAAACUUUGUUCUUUUCACCCCUUUUUCUUUUAAUAAAACUUCAUAUUUCA
rnacentral:lncRNA from 1 species